AACGAACGCUGGCGGCAUGCCUAACACAUGCAAGUCGAACGAGACCUUCGGGUCUAGUGGCGCACGGGUGCGUAACGCGUGGGAACCUGCCCUUAGGUUCGGAAUAACUCCCCGAAAGGGGUGCUAAUACCGGAUAAUGUCUUCGGACCAAAGAUUUAUCGCCUUUGGAUGGUCCCGCGUUGGAUUAGCUAGUUGGUAGGGUAAAAGCCUACCAAGGCGACGAUCCAUAGCUGGUCUGAGAGGAUGAUCAGCCACACUGGGACUGAGACACGGCCCAGACUACUACGGGAGGCAGCAGUGGGGAAUAUUGGAAAAUGGGCGAAAGCAUGAUCCAGCAAUGCCGCGUGAGUGAUGAAGGCCUUAGGGUUGUAAAGCUCUUUUACCCGGGAUGAUAAUGACAGUACCGGGAGAAUAAGCUCCGGCUAACUCCGUG
rnacentral:rRNA from 1 species